UGGGCCCCAACCAAACCCACACUCCCACAUCCACAAGCGCAUGCCUGUUUCUUCUCCCAAAUCUACUGCCCCGUUCGUCGAUCCACGGCACCGGCCGCACCGCACUCCGCGAGCGCCUGCUCGUCUCCCUAGCCGGCAUCAGGGGCCAAGGCGACAGAUCCACAUGCUUCUCCCCCGCCCCAGAUUUUUGCUCGCCGAAUCCGUCGGCUCCUUGCUAUCGUCGUCUUCGCGGUCGCUGCGAUGCUCGACUCCGGCGAAUUCCUCCCAGCCUCCCGCCACAAGGCUGUAUCCGUUUUGGCCGCCUUCGCGUCCUCCGAAGGCGAGCGCGAACCCAUCUCCACGAGGAAGGCGAGCGCGCACCACCCCCACGCUCCUCAUUCAGUGGCGCUGGCACCGACGCCGUUGUAGCGGGCCUCUUCCUCUCAAGCAUAUUACCGCAGGCCACAUCGGGGAUGGCCUCGACCUCCUGCUGCUAGCUACUGGUGCUGGCUGUAGCUUGAACUGGAGGUCUGGAGCAGAAAAAUUGCACCGAGGUAGCAGGUGGAUGAUGGUGUUGGUGCCUUUCUCUUGAAUUGUUGCUGGUGAUGGCUGCAAUUUGAAUGAGCGCCUCAUGUCAACGACAACACAUGCCUCGGAUGAUUUUGUCCAUGAUGAUCUGGUAGGAACUAAUGGAUGAACCAAGCAAAAAGGGCAUUCAAGAAGAUCAUCAUGCAGUUAAUCGUGAUGCUGAUCCCUCGCAUGCGAUUGAAGAUCAUCACGAGGUGUAUCCGAAAAAAGAUUCAAUAAACUUGUUGUGUGUUCUUUUAACUUGUUGCAUGUUCUUGUUGCAGGGCCAGAGAAGCACACCCUUUAUUGGGUACUAGCGUUGAGGAAGAAAGGAGAUUACUGCCAGUGGCAAACGUCUGUUGGACAUCAACAGCAAUUCGAGUGUUUCCACAUAUGGUGAUUGAAAUUCUGAGAAAGAAACUAUCGUGGAACAACCAUCAAAAGCAAAAUCUCAAAAGACCGGAUCUAACGAGGAUAAGAGAACAGGGCAUCGCCUGCAAGGCUUUUCAAGCUAGAUAAACUUCUUGUACCUGUUCAACAAGGCCAAGCUCAAGUCACUUUCAGUCAAUUUCUGACACCAGCCUUGUGCAGAUCAUGGGCAAAGGGAAAGGAAGGCUUGUGUUCUUAUGUAACCCAGGGGACAGGGAUGAAAUAGGCACACAAUCAUGGGGGAAAGUGAAAGCUAAAUCUGACCUUUUUCUAUGCUUCUUCCACCCUUAGUCAAUAGGAAUUGCAUGGAGAAAAAAAUCCUAAACCAGCCACCAUUAAAGGAUUGUGGAGAGUUUUCUGUAUCUGGGAGUUGUCCCUUUGUGGGUUGGGAGAGAAGAAGAUGGGGCUGGGUGAUUU